GUGGGGAAUCUUGCGCAAUGGGCGAAAGCCUGACGCAGCCAUGCCGCGUGGAUGAUGAAGGUCUUAGGAUUGUAAAAUCCUUUCACCGGUGAAGAUAAUGACUGUAGCCGGAGAAGAAGCCCCGGCUAACUUCGUGCCAGCAGCCGCGGUAAUGCGAAGGGGGCUAGCGUUGCUCGGAUUUACUGGGCGUAAAGGGCGCGUAGGCGGACAUUUAAGUCAGGGGUGAAAUCCCGGGGCUCAACCUCGGAACUGCCUUUGAUACUGGGUGUCUUGAGUAUGAGAGAGGUGUGUGGAACUCCGAGUGUAGAGGUGAAAUUCGUAGAUAUUCGGAAGAACACCAGUGGCGAAGGCGACACACUGGCUCAUUACUGACGCUGAGGCGCGAAAGCGUGGGGAGCAAACAGGAUUAGAAACCCUAGUAGUCC
rnacentral:rRNA from 1 species